CAUCAAUAUAGAGCAGUAAGUUAAUAAAAGGACAUUUUGCACCUUAAAGCCUGUAUAGUGGCAACAGAAUAACAAAUCCCUUUGAAAAUACAAUACCUGCAUCGUCCUGGCUGCUUCAAACCACAGGUCAUAUAUUUGUAUGGAACCCUGUUAAUAUUUCGUUUAAAUGUAUAUACCAUAACAUAGAUUGUAGUGGUUUUUCUUACCACAAGGUGUGAACAGUAUACUCACUCAUGGUAACUCAGUCCUUUGUUAUACGUAACAUCUACUUAUUUGCGAUUACAAAUGAUAUGCACAGAGCUUACAGUCAUAAA